rnacentral:rRNA from 1 species
UUUUCUGCUUCAUACACGUAGCUAACCUACCCUUAAGUCGAGGAUACUCUCGGGAAACUGAGGUUAAUACUCGAUAGGAGAUGUACCCUGGAAUGAUUCAUCUCUCAAAUUCGUGCUUAAGGAUGGGGCUGCGGCGGAUUAGGUUGUUGGCGGGGUAAAGGCCCACCAAGCCAAUGAUCCGUAAGGGCUCUUAGCGGAGAGGCCCUGAGAGGGAAUCUGAGACACUAUUCCCAGCCCUACGGGGUGCAGCAGUUAGGAAUUUUCUGCAAUGUACGAAAGUAUGACAGAUUGAGUCAGAGUGCUUUUCAUAUGAAAAGCUUUUGCCAAAUGUAAAAAGUUUGGCGAAUAAGGACUGGGUAAGACGAGUGCCAGCAGCCGCGGAAAAUACAA